GGGUCUUCAAAGUCCUCAGAGGUCUUCUCAGGCUGGAGUGUGAGUGACAGCAAGUCGAACACCGAAAACUAAUGAAAGCCAGAUGCCUUGGCCUGUCCCAGGAACAGGGAAGGGAUUAAAAACCGACCUCAGCAGCCUGAAAAUCUGCAGUUACAGGAACCUGCUCCAGGACCCAGGGUCUCCCAAGCAACAGAGGAGUCUGGGAAGGGCAUGUGUUUGUAACACCGACACACGGUGCGUGCAGGCGGCGGAGGGGACCGGUACUGCUGACACAAGGAGAGUCACUGGAGCAGAUCCCUGGAUUUAAUGUGAAAAUUUUUUUAAGCCUUUGUUUGAGGAAGCUACCAGGAGCACAGCUACAGUCAAAUAACUCUUUGCAAUGCCAUCAUUACCAGCGACAGGUAUUUAUUGAAAAAUCAACCCUUAUCUAAAUACAGAAAUAAAAGAGUUGCAGGCUGGUAAAGC
rnacentral:lncRNA from 1 species